rnacentral:rRNA from 1 species
AGGAUACCGCGUAGACUUACCAGGUCUUGACAUCCGACGCAUAGUGCAGAGAUGCAUGAAGUCCUUCGGGACGUCAAGACAGGUGGUGCAUGGUUGUCGUCAGCUCGUGUCGUGAGAUGUUGGGUUAAGUCCCGCAACGAGCGCAACCCUUAUCGUCAGUUACUACGCAAGAGGACUCUGGCGAGACUGCCGUUGACAAAACGGAGGAAGCCCCCCGU